UAGACAGAUUAUUGUAUUCACGACGUGAAAUAGGGGAUUACAUUGUUUUUAAAACGGAAAGUGAAUCAAUUAACAUAAUAGACUCCU
rnacentral:pre_miRNA from 1 species